AGUUCGUGGUGCAGGCAACAUCGGAGCAAGUCUUUAUACCUCUCCCAAGCAUCAUACAUGCUCUCGUCAUCGAAUCGCACAAAAAAAGAUAUAUCAUUUCUCAAUCU
rfam:Ricinus communis cultivar Hale ctg_1100012360576, whole genome shotgun sequence.